ACAGUGGAGUUAAAGCUUACAGCUGUGAGUUGUGUGGAAAGUCUUUUACCCAGACUGGAGACUUAAAAAGACACCAACUCAUCCACAGUGGAGUUAAAGCAUACAGCUGUGAGUUGUGUGGAAGGUCUUUUACCUAUAGUCACGCCUUAAAAUCACACCAAGUCAUCCACAGUGGAGUUAAAGCAUACAGCUGUGACUUGUGUGGAAAGUCUUUUACCCAGUCUGGAAGCUUAAAAACACACCAACUCAGCCACAGUGGAGUUAAAGCGUACAGCUGUGAUCAGUGUGGCAAAGUUUUUGGGACAUACAACGAAUUAAAGAAGCACAUGUUUACCCACACUGAAGAGAGACCUUAUAAAUGUGACCUGUGUAAAAAGGCUUUUAAAGAUCCACGUUCCCUGAAAACACACCAACAGAUCCACACCAGAAAGAGACUCUACAAGUGCAGUUGCUGUGAGAAGCAGAGCGACACAGAUGGAACCAGUUCUCAACCCUGUCGUCACUGUGGUGGUGGGAAAGAGUUUCUCUGUGACCUUUGUGGAAAAACCUUUAAUCAGCAACGGAACCUAAAAUGGCACCAACGUAGACACACUGGAGACAAAAUGAACUACUGCAAAGAAUGUGGGAGAGGCUUCCCCACACAGAGUCAAUUAAAAAUACAUGAACUCAUACACAGUGGGGUCAAAAAGCACAUCUGUGACCAGUGUGGGUCAUCCUUCACCACUGCAAGUGAGCUUAAAGAGCAUAAACGAGUCCACACAGGAGAGAAACCAUACAAGUGCAGACACUGUGACAAGAGCUUUUCACGGUCAGGUAGUCGUAACCUUCAUGAACGUACACACAUUGAAGGGAACUUCAGCUGUGACCAGUGUGACAAGAGCUUCAAGAAUCUCAGUUCAUACUCCACACACAAAUGA